GAUGGAUGGAGAGGGGGCCUGAGCAGUGUAAUAAACCAAAAAACCUCUGUGCCAUCGAGACACAGCUCUCACCUAAGCUUCUGCCAUAUUGUAAUAGUGAGUUCUAACAAGCCUUUAAAUGAAACUCGUCGUAGUCAAACACUAAUAUCUUCCCCUCCUCCUGUACUGCUGAACGGCAGCCAUUUUGAAACUCUUCGUAGUUAAACACUAUCUUCCCCCUCCUCCUGUACUGCUGACCGGCAGCCAUUUUGAAACUCUUCGUAGUUAAACACUAUCUUCCCCCUCCUCCUGUACUGCUGACCGGCAGCCAUUUUGAAACUCUUCGUAGUUAAACACUAUCUUCCCCCUCCUCCUGUACUGCUGACCGGCAGCCAUUUUGAAACUCUUCGUAGUUAAACACUAUCUUCCCCCUCCUCCUGUACUGCUGACCGGCAGCCAUUUUGAAACUCUUCGUAGUUAAACACUAUCUUCCCCCUACUCCUGUACUGCUGACCGGCAGCCAUUUUGAAACUCUUCGUAGUUAAACACUAUCUUCCCCCUCCUCCUGUACUGCUGACCGGCAGCCAUUUUGAAACUCUUCGUAGUUAAACACUAUCUUCCCCCUCCUCCUGUACUGCUGACCGGCACCCAUUUUGAAACUCUUCGUAGUUAAACACUAAUAUCUUCCCCCUCCUCCUGUACUGCUGACCGGCAGCCAUUUCAAUGACAACCUUUCCUGGUAGAGCAGGGAGAAGUCUCCCUACCAGCGGACAGAUGUGGUUCUAUCUCUGUGGAUGUUUGUGUAAUAUUUGCUGUUAAAAAUGAAGGAUAUUUUGUCAAAGGGAAAAAGACUGGUUGUGUGUUUUUUGUCUCCGGUGUUCAGUGUAUUUGCAGAUGAUAACUUUAAUAUAACAGUAUACAACAGGUUCAUGUUAAUUUCACUAAGCCUGGGUUCCAUCGAAGGGAAGAGUCCCUGUUUGAUUCCACCAUUGUGAUUCUUCUGGUUUCUAGUGGUUUCUACAGGUCUCUAGUGGUUUCUACUGGUCUCUAGUGGUUUCUACAGGUCUCUAGUGGUUUCUACUGGUCUCUAGUGGUUUCUACUGGUCUCUAGUGGUUUCUACAGGUCUCUAGUGGUUUCUACAGGUCUCUAGUGGUUUCUACAGGUCUCUAGCGGUUUCUACUGGUCUCUAGCGGUUUCUACUGGUCUCUAGUGGUUUCUACUGGUCUCUAGUGGUUUCUACUGGUCUCUAGUGGUUUCUACUGGUCUCUAGUGGUUUCUACAGGUCUCUAGUGGUUUCUACUGGUCUCUAGCGGUUUCUACUGGUCGUUAGUGGUUUCUACAGGUCUCUAGUGGCUUCUACAGGUCUCUAGUGGUUUCUACUGGUCUCUACAGGUCUCUAGUGUUUUCUAGUGGUCUCUACGGGUUUCUACUAAUCUCUAGUGGUCUCUACGGGUUUCUACUGAUCUCUAGUGGUUUCUACUGGUCUCUAGUGGUUUCUACAGGUUUCUACUGGUCUCUAGUGAUCUCUAGUGGUCUCUAGUGAUCUCUACAGGAUGUCCACCUGAAUUUUUCUGACACUGCAGUGUUGCACUUUCUUAUCUACAAAGUAGAUUAUUAUACGUUUUGAUAAUCAAAUUAUUUCUGUAAUAAAAAUCAAACAAAAAGAAACAUCUGAAUAUCUAUGUGUGUACAUUGUAAAGCGUUUGUAGACGGUAAAGUUGUCAAGUCUGUUGGCUGUUGCAAAGUAAUGUAUUUUCUGAGAUCAUUGUCUUCAAAGGGGUAUGUAAAAUAUAUAUAUAUAUAUUUUCACUGCGUUUCAUCUUCUUUCAGGAAAUGCCACUCGUGGCUUCCUGAAUUCUACAAAGCAGCACAUUGUGUGCAGGUCAUAGGUACUCUAGGUUUGAUUGUAAACACACCUGUUGUACCGGGGACAGUAACAACUCUAGGUUUGAUUGUAAGCACACCUGUUGUACCGGGGACAGUCACAACUCUAGGUUUGAUUGUAAACACACCUGUUGUACCGGGGACAGUCACAAUCCUUUUCUGUUGCUCGUCCCAUCAUUACUGAACUCAAUUGUGGCUAAAUAGUUGUUGUACAGUUUUUAUAAUGCUUGUGUAAACUACUCCAACUAUUGCCUUGCUAGUACAGUUUAUAAUGCUUGUGUAAACUGUUCUCCAACUAUUGCCUUGCUAGUACAGUUUAUAAUGCUUGUGUAAACUGUUCUCCAACUAUUGCCUCGCUAGUACAGUUUAUAAUGCUUGUGUAAACUGUUCUCCAACUAUUGCCUCGCUAGUACAGUUUAUAAUGCUUGUGUAAACUGUUCUCCAACUAUUGCCUUGCUAGUACAGUUUAUAAUGCUUGUGUAAACUGUUCUCCAACUAUUGCCUCGCUAGUACAGUUUAUAACGUAUAGCUGUCCUGCUCCUGUUAUGUGUAAAUAUAAAGUCCCAUUAUUAUGAAGGAAAAUUAAUUGAAGGGCAUAUUGACUUCAUGUGUGUAUGAAUGGAUAUGAUUGAGUUGAUAUAUUAUUGUAAAGUGUUUUUCUGUUGGGAGGCGUACAGUAUACUGUUAUAAACUAUUAAUCUCUGUUGGGAGGCAUAUAUUGAAUAUAUCUACACAGUCCUCAUGUUUUCUGUUGGGAGGUUUACACUGUUAAUAUCUACACAGUCCUCAUGUUUUCUGUUGGGAGGUUUACGCUGUUAAUAUCUACACAGUCCUCAUGUUUUCUGUUGAGAGGCGUACAGUAUACUGUAUUAUAAACUAUUAAUCUCUGUUGGGAGGCUUACUGUUAAUAUCUACACAGUCCUCAUGUUUUCUACAGUGGGGGGUACACCCCAAAUGACCCCCUAUUCCCUAUAUAGUGAGCCCAUAGAGUGCUGGUUAGAAGUAGUUCACUCUACAGGGGAUAGGAGGCCAUUUUGGACGGACUCGUCGUUGUUGUUGUUGUUGUCCUGUUGGUUUCCAUGGUUUCACUCUGUACCUCCUUUCUUACUGCCGGAAACUAAACAGCCGUGGUGACGAUGUCUUGCUGUUGAUUGUUGUACAGUCCGUUAUUUUAUCAUUGUGUAUGUUUGUCCUCGGUCAACUUAAAUCUCAAUAAACUAUGUGAAUGAACUGAA